rnacentral:rRNA from 1 species
AUACGUAGGGGGCGAGCGUUGUCCGGAAUGAUUGGGCGUAAAGGGCGCGUAGGCGGCCCGGUAAGUCUGGAGUGAAAGUCCUGUUUUUAAGAUGGGAAUUGCUUUGGAUACUGUCGGGCUUGAGUGCAGGAGAGGUCAGUGGAAUUCACAGUGUAGCGGUGAAAUGCGUAGAGAUUGGGAGGAACACCAGUGGCGAAGGCGACUUACUGGACUGUAACUGACGCUGAGGCGCGAAAGUGUGGGGAGCAAACAGGAUUAGAUACCCUGGUAGUCCACACUGUAAACGAUGAAUGCUAGGUGUAGGGGGUAUCGACCCCUUCUGUGCCGCAGUCAACACAAUAAGCAUUCCGCCUGGGGAGUACGGCCGCAAGGUUGAAACUCAAAUGAAUUGACGGGG